UCUGUGUGUUCGGCACACUACAGUCUCUCUCUCUCUCUCUCUCUGUGUGUGUGUGUGAGAGAAUAUAUUCCAGAUUUUCCAAGUAGCUAAAACGAAGAACUAGGACAUUCCUGGCUGCAAACGGUCUCACCAAUCACAUUGCUCAAUGAAGGUAGCUGGGAGGCUGCUUGGUCACUCCUCUCCUCCUUCCCUUGCCAUCUGUUGGGAUGACCUUGGUUCCCACAAGAAAAUUUUUUGUUUUGACUUGUAGCCGGUCUAUCUGCUUCCCACUUUCAAAGUUCGUGGCAACUAUGAGGUGGCUUCAGACAGGUCAGCUUCAGAGUUGACAG